rnacentral:rRNA from 1 species
GACGAACGCUGGCGGCGUGCCUAACACAUGCAAGUCGAGCGGGGUUGAGGCGAGAGGUAACUCGAACUUCUACCUAGCGGCGGACGGGUGAGUAACGCGUGGAUAAUCUGCCCUUGAGUGUGGAAUAACGUACCGAAAGGUGCGCUAAUACCGCAUAAUGCCUGGCAACACAAGUUGUCCGGCCAAAGAAGGCCUCUGUUUACAAGCUUUUGCUCAAGGAUGAGUCCGCGUACCAUUAGCUAGUUGGUGGGGUAACGGCCUACCAAGGCUACGAUGGUUAGCUGGUCUGAGAGGAUGAUCAGCCACACUGGAACUGAGACACGGUCCAGACUCCUACGGGAGGCAGCAGUGAGGAAUAUUGCGCAAUGGGGGCAACCCUGACGCAGCAACGCCGCGUGAGUGAGGAAGGUUUUCGGACUGUAAAGCUCUGUCGAGCGGGAAGAAAUGUACCAUGGCUAAUAUCCAUGAUAUUUGACGGUACCGCUAGA